AUGAACGGCUGCGUGGGUGGCCCAACCCUGAUCCAGGGUCACCCUACCGUUCAUCAGCUUGACCGUCACCUUCCAGGAGCAGUCGGUGUUGUUCCUGAGCUUGAACUCCGUUGGUACCACGACGAAGUGCUUGGUGAAGUCCAGGGGCAUGGGAUGCACUCAAGCUUCGGUGCAAGGAUGACCUUGCAGAACUCCAGCUCCAACGCCAACCCCUUCCCUUGGGGUAUUGUCUGGAGGGCAUUCUUCCUCGGGUGGUCGGCUGGUGACCGCACCAAGUUCGAGAGCACCAUGGAGGUGUGA
rnacentral:rRNA from 1 species